GGAAGUAAAAGUCGGAACAAGGUUUCCGUAGGUGAACCUGCGGAAGGAUCAUUAUUGUAUAACCGAGGUGCGAGGGCUGUCGCUGACCCGAAAGGUCGUGCACGCCCGAGUGCCCUCACACACAUCCAUCUCACCCCUAUGUGCACCACCGCGUGGGUCCCCCUUUGGCUUGUUCGGAGGGGGGCUUACGUUUUCACACAAACUUUGUAUGCAGUGUAGAAUGUAUUUUUUGUUUUUGCGAUCACGCAAUCAAUACAACUUUCAACAACGGAUCUCUUGGCUCUC
rnacentral:misc_RNA from 1 species